rnacentral:rRNA from 1 species
GACGAACGCUGGCGGCGUGCUUAACACAUGCAAGUCGAACGGAAAGGCCCUGCUUUUGUGGGGUGCUCGAGUGGCGAACGGGUGAGUAACACGUGAGUAACCUGCCCUUGACUUUGGGAUAACUUCAGGAAACUGGGGCUAAUACCGGAUAGGAGCUCCUGCUGCAUGGUGGGGGUUGGAAAGUUUCGGCGGUUGGGGAUGGACUCGCGGCUUAUCAGCUUGUUGGUGGGGUAGUGGCUUACCAAGGCUUUGACGGGUAGCCGGCCUGAGAGGGUGACCGGCCACAUUGGGACUGAGAUACGGCCCAGACUCCUACGGUAGGCAGCAGUGGGGAAUAUUGCACAAUGGGCGGAAGCCUGAUGCAGCAACGCCGCGUGCGGGAUAACGGCCUUCGGGUUGUAAACCGCUUUCGCCUGUGACGAAGCGUGAGUGACGGUAAUGGGUAAAGAAGCACCGGCUAACUACGUG